GGACGUUAGAGGACGCCUCCGUAGUUCGAGAGUUUUGAACGGUGUUCCAACGAAUCGAUUAGUGGUAAUAGCGUUCCUGUUGUGGAAGUGGUUAAGCGAUCGCCAAAUUCUAGCAAGUUGUCGAAUGGUACCUCAACGAUGGUGAGGGAAUUCGUAUUUAUGUAUUAUGGGCGUAGGCUAAGUAGCUUAGCGCGUGAGGCUUAGUGAGAAGCGUGAUAGUGUAGGACGCUUGAGUAUAGGUGUCCGCAGAGUGUGGAUUGUGAUUCAGCCGGGAGGGUUUGUGGGUUGUAGCAGCUGAGUAUAGCUACGUGUGAAGCGUG
rnacentral:lncRNA from 1 species